GAGAGGAUGAUCAGUCACACUGGAACUGAGACACGGUCCAGACUACUACGGGAGGCAGCAGUGGGGAAUAUUGGACAAUGGGCGAAAGCCUGAUCCAGCCAUGCCGCGUGUGUGAAGAAGGUCUUCGGAUUGUAAAGCACUUUAGGUUGGGAGGAAGGGCAUUAACCUAAUACGUUAGUGUUUUGACGUUACCGACAGAAUAAGCACCGGCUAACUCUGUGCCAGCAGCCGCGGUAAUACAGAGGGUGCAAGCGUUAAUCGGAAUUACUGGGCGUAAAGCGCGCGUAGGUGGUUUGUUAAGUUGAAUGUGAAAUCCCCGGGCUCAACCUGGGAACUGCAUCCAAAACUGGCAAGCUAGAGUAUGGUAGAGGGUAGUGGAAUUUCCUGUGUAGCGGUGAAAUGCGUAGAUAUAGGAAGGAACACCAGUGGCGAAGGCGACUACCUGGACUGAUACUGACACUGACCGUGCGAAAGCGUGGGGAGCAAACAGAUUAGAUACCCUGGUAGUCCACGCCGUAAACGAUGUCAACUAGCCGUUGGGAACCUUGAGUUCUUAGUGGCGCAGCUAACGCAAUAAGUUGACCGCCUGGGGAGUACGGCCGCAAGGUUAAAACUCAAAUGAAUUGACGGGGGCCCGCACAAGC
rnacentral:rRNA from 1 species